rnacentral:lncRNA from 1 species
UCCCCAAAGCAAAAGGCAGGAUAACCGCCAACGGGCAUGUGCGCGGUGAAUCUUCCAAUAUGCGCUCCGUUUGCCGCUAAAGGACAGCAGCAGCACCCAAACUGCAUGUCGCGGCCGGUACGAACAUCCGCCUGGAGACAGCCUCUAAGAAGAAACGUCGCGUUCGGUCGUUAGCGAACGGUCGGUGACUCAUUGAGUACUUGUAUGUUGCCACGGAUGGUGUCAUAUGACGGAAGGGGUUCAAAACGGCCUUGACCCCGUCGGCUCAUCAAACGUUCCUGCAAUGCUGUCGUCAUGAUGCAUUCAGGCUGAUUUGUAAGGACCCAGGACACAACUCGUUGCUCGUUGGCUGCUGCCACAAGGACGUGGAUACGCGGUGGCAGCUGUUGAUGGCUUU